rnacentral:sRNA from 1 species
AGGAGUAACGCAAUAUAUGGCAUUAUCUAAGCCAUUUGUUCCUGAUACGGGGCAGGGGAAAUUUGUGAUUGCUCAGAACUAUUUGGAGUGUGGCACUGAAGACUGUCAGAAGAACUGUCAGUUUUACUGCAAUGAUUGUCACCAACCAAUGUGUGAACAAUGCAGAGAUGAACAUCAGAAGAGUCCAGACACCAAAAACCAUGAAGUGGUCCCUUACAAACAACACAAAAGACAACUUCCAGUGGAGAAAUGCACAGAUCAUCCGAAUAAAGAUAUAGACAUUCUCUGUGAGGACUGUCAAGUUCCCAUAUGUUCUAAAUGUGCAAUACAAGACCAUAGAAGACACGCCCUGAAUGAUUUAGAGACAAUUUAUUCAGAGGUAUUCACUCUUUGCCUAGACAAGAUCUAUAAAAUUCAUCAAUAUUUUCUCCCAACUUCUCAAGAUAUACAAAAAGAUAUUGUAAAUGAUGCCAAAGAAAUCAUCUUAAGUUAGAAGCUGAAACUCUUAAAAGUCUCAUAGACACAGUGACAUCAGAUAAUAUAGAAAAAGUCCACAAAAUGGAAGAGUCACUAAUGGAGCAACUUCAGAGCCAAGACAACACAUACAAAGAUUACAUCUCCUAUCUUGAGGGGCUUGUCAAAGAGUUCCAUGGCUACCUUUCCUAUACAAAACUUCAAGACAAUCCACUCAUUUUCUUGCUUGCUGACCGCCUUAAUAUCCAACCUAUACCAGAAACUGCCAAACCAGUCUCUCCCGUAUUUACAGCUGGUCAAUACAGCAAGGAAGAUGUCACUAAACUACUAGGUAGAGUAACUAUUCCAGAUAUAAAACUGAGAUCAGAGAAAUAAAGCCCUCGGAAACUACCUCUACAGAGUUGAAACCUAAAGAUAAACAAUCUCUCUCUCUGUCCUCUGUCACCAAGGUGGGGGAGUUUAAAGUACCAGGUGUUGGAAGUGCACAUCAUAUGUCAUUAGAUAAAACGGACAGAGUCUGGGUCAGUGAUUGGAUAGGUAACCUUGUUCAUUCAGAUCUACAAGGGAAUCAGCUAAAGAAAAUACAAACCAGUGGUAGACUUGAAGGCUACCACACAGUCACCCAGGAAGGGGAUCUGAUUUAUACAGACAAAGACAGCAAAGUCAUUAAUAAGACUACAGCAGAUUAUUAUAAAACUACUAGAUUCAAUGAAACAGGAGACUGGACACCAAUCAGCAUACUCUCCUCCCGCAUUAACGGGGAAAUACUGGUGGGGAUGAAAAAAAGUGGAGAGGCAAAAGUCACCAGGUACAACAAGACAGGAGAGGAAAUACAGAACAUACAGAGAGACAAAGAUGGACAGGAACUUUAUAGGAAUCCAAACUACAUCACAGAAAACAUCAAUGGUGAUAUCUGUACAUCAGACUAUGACAAAGAAGCUGUAGUAGUGGUGAACAAAUCUUCUCCUACACAGGUCCGUGGUCUAAGUUUUGUCCUUAAUUGUGGAAUCUGUACCGAUAUCCUUGGCCACAUCCUGGUGUCCGAUAGUAUUAGCAAUGCAUUUCAUAUUCUGGAUCAGGACGGUCAGUUCUUGUGUGUGCUUCUCACAGAGAAACAAGGGGUGAAGCGCCCCCGUGGGGUUUGUGUGGAUGAGGAGAACAAACUCUAUGUGGGACAAGGUCUCAUCAACGAAGUGACAGUAUACGAGUAUCUGCAGUGAUGAUCUUUACUGUGUAAAGAAUUCUUCUUUUGUUAAAAGUACAUACCCUCGGUUCCCAUUUCAUUGUUUAAAUCUAGAUUGAUUAUCUAAUAAAACAAACUUUUAUUGUGUUUAUUAGAAUUAUCUGUUUCUGAAAAGAAUAUUAUGUAAAACUAAUGUUUUUCAUAUCAAGAUCAAAUAAUGUUUUAUAGAAGUGAAAUGGUGCUUUUGAUAACGGAAAUGUUACACGAUUCCCACAUUUUUCAUUCUAUAAAGGACGUCAUCAAAUAAACAAUUAAAAGAU